AUCAGACUCCUAUUGUCACCAAGACUUGACAUAUAUUUUAUAUAGAUUUUGUUUUUUUUUACCCUAGGAAAGCCAAGAAAGGGGUUGUGACCAAUUUGUUGAAGACUUCCUAGUAUACAUUGAACAGAGACAGGAAAGGAGAGCAGACAAGAAGAGACAAAGGAGAAAAGGACAACAUAAAGGAUGGACACUGGGGUUUAUCCUAAAAUUUAAAGGGAUCCAUCCCCUAAGGGAAGACCAGAACAAGGAAUUUAAACAGUUAAAGGCAGGUAGGUUACUCUCUUCCAUUCUAUUUUUUCUGCUUCUCUAUCUGCUUCGUUCUUAUUAUCUUGAACAUCAUUUUUCUCUGCUACUUUUUGCAAAUAUGACAGAAGAAGGCUCCUCCUCUAAGAUUGAUGAGUCCCUGAGUUCCAGCAUCUAUAGAUCCUAACUGCAUGUCAAUUUCACAUCCCUAGGAGAGAGUAUCUGAUUAACUCAGCUCAGACCUGGUGUCCAACACUGGCUCAAUCAAUAGUGCAUAGAAUGACAUCUUGUAUCAUUACUGUGGUUUCAGCUGCCCACACUACUAG
rnacentral:lncRNA from 1 species